UACAGAGGGUGCAAGCGUUGUUCGGAAUUAUUGGGCGUAAAGCGCGUGUAGGCGGCUUUGCAAGUCGGGUGUGAAAUCCCUCGGCUCAACCGAGGAAGUGCGCCCGAAACUGCAGAGCUUGAGUACCGGAGAGGAUGGCGGAAUUCCCGAAGUAGAGGUGAAAUUCGUAGAUAUCGGGAGGAACACCGGUGGCGAAGGCGGCCAUCUGGACGGAUACUGACGCUGAGGAGCGAAAGCGUGGGGAGCGAACAGG
rnacentral:rRNA from 1 species